rnacentral:rRNA from 1 species
CAGCAGCCGCCGCGGUAAUACAGAGGGUGCGAGCGUUAAUCGGAUUUACUGGGCGUAAAGCGUGCGUAGGCGGCUUCUUAAGUCGGAUGUGAAAUCCCUGAGCUUAACUUAGGAAUUGCAUUCGAUACUGGGAAGCUAGAGUAUGGGAGAGGAUGGUAGAAUUCCAGGUGUAGCGGUGAAAUGCGUAGAGAUCUGGAGGAAUACCGAUGGCGAAGGCAGCCAUCUGGCCUAAUACUGACGCUGAGGUACGAAAGCAUGGGGAGCAAACAGGAUUAGAUACCCCCGUAGUCCCUGUCUCUUAUAC